rnacentral:misc_RNA from 1 species
GAUGAAGAACGUAGCGAAAUGCGAUAAGUAAUGUGAAUUGCAGAAUUCAGUGAAUCAUCGAUCUUUGAACGCACAUUGCGCCCGUCAGUAUUCUGGCGGGCAUGCCUGUUCGAGCGUCAUUACGCCCCUCAAGUCCCCUGUGGACUUGGUGUUGGGGAUCGGCGAGGCUGGUUUUCCAGCACAGCCGUCCCUUAAAUUAAUUGGCGGUCUCGCCGUGGCCCUCCUCUGCGCAGUAGUAAAACACUCGCAACAGGAGCCCGGCGCGGUCCACUGCCGUAAAACCCCCCAACUUUUUAUAGUUGACCUCGAAUCAGGUAGGACUACCCGCUGAACUUAAGCAUAUCAAUAAGCGGAGGA